UACAGAGGAUGCAAGCGUUAUCCGGAAUGAUUGGGCGUAAAGCGUCUGUAGGUGGCUUGUCGCGUCGUCCGUGAAAACUCACAGCUCAACUGUGAGCUUGCGGUCGAUACGGGCAGGCUAGAGUUCGGUAGGGGAGACUGGAAUUCCCGGUGGUAGCGGUGAAAUGCGCAGAUAUCGGGAGGAACACCAAUGGCGAAGGCAGCUUGCUGGGACGGUACGUGACGC
rnacentral:rRNA from 1 species